CUGCUGCCUUCCGUAGGAGUUUGGGCCGUGUCUCAGUCCCAAUGUGGCCGUUCACCCUCUCAGGCCGGCUACUGAUCGUCGCUUUGGUGGGCCGUUACCCCGCCAACUGGCUAAUCAGACGCGGAUCCAUCGUAUACCACCGGAGUUUUUCACACUGUUCCAUGCGGAACCGUGCGCUUAUGCGGUGUUAGCACCUAUUUCUAAGUGUUAUCCCCCUGUAUACGGCAGGUUAUCCACGCGUUACUCACCCGUCCGCCACUAA
rnacentral:rRNA from 1 species